UACGUAGGUGGCAAGCGUUAUCCGGAAUUACUGGGCGUAAAGCGCACGCAGGCGGUCUUGUAAGUUUGACGUGAAAGCUCCCGGCUUAACUGGGAGAGGUCGUUGAAUACUGCGAGACUUGAGUUUAGGAGAGGGGUGUAGAAUUCCCGGUGUAGUGGUGAAAUGCGUAGAUAUCGGGAGGAACACCAGUGGCGAAGGCGACUUCCUGGCCUGUUCUUGACGCUGAGGCGCGAAAGCUAGGGGAGCAAACGGG
rnacentral:rRNA from 1 species